AUACUUUUUUCAUUUAUUAUUAAGUUUAAAUGAUAAAGUGUUAUGUGCCAAAUUGUUAUAACCCCAAAUAUAAUAAAAAAAUGCAUGUCUUUCCGGCAUCUAAUUAUCAGAGGGCGAAUAAUCUUUUAAUGGAUGACCUAACUCUUCGGUUUGUGGCACAAAUCAACGAUAAUUUGAAAUCGAAACCAAAUAGAAGUGUCUCCUUUACGGCAAUAACAAAAUAGUUUUCAAGUCACUGGAGAAUGCUCUGAUACAGAACCAGAAGAACAAUCUGCAACUCUAAGGACAAGGACAAGAGAUGGAAGCCUAAACACCUUGAAAAAGAUUUUUGCAGCACCUCUAAGAUUGUGAAGUGCAGGUUAAAAGUCACCUAUUCUGACACCAGUUUUCCGAAAAGGUAUUUUUUCAUACUAAUUGCAGCAAAAAUAUUUAAUAUGAUAAUUACAAUAUCUUCAAUUAAUAUGAUAUAACAAUAUAUUCAAUAGAAGUCCUUGAUGGUAGCUGCAAAUUGCCGCAGAAUG